ACUCUCCAAAUUGUGGUGUAUCAUCUUUAUAAUUGUAUUACACUUGUGUCACAGCAGACAAUGAGGUAGAUAACUUGGACUGGUCUGAUACAAUCCUAUGAGUCAGUUAAACUACACAAAUUUGUACUGAUGGAUACAGAAAAACUUUUGUUGUAUAUGACAUUUUUGCCUUUUUUAUUAGUGUUGUGAAUGAAUCUGGAGCCCUGUGUCUGCUAGCCAAGAGAUCUGUCACUGAUAUUCUCACCUCUGUCCUGCUGUGUGUGUGUGUAUUCCCAUUUAUUCUUUCAUGUUUCCAUGGAUGUAUAUUAUGAUGUAUAUUAUGUGGUCUUUAUUUACAUCUCAGUCCCAUAUCUCCAUCUACUCCCAGGAUUUCCAAUCAGUUCUCCCUCCCUUAUCUGUAACAUUAUCAUAUAUUAUAUUAUAUUACAUUAUAUUAUUUAUAAUCCACCAAAUUCAAUUAGUGUUGACCAUAUAUAUAUAUGCGUGAGAAUGUGGUACCUACCAAUGGCCACAAUACCAAAGGAAAACGAGUCCCUCUCCAGUUAAUUAGCAAUAGUCAUAAGCUCAUGGUUGGGUUUAGGGUACUUAUUUCCCUUUUAGAAUUUUUACUGGCUGGCUGGAUCUUGUACAAUCAUUUGUAGGUGAAGAGCUGCUUUCUGUUCAUAUGUGCAUCAGUCAUGUUUGUCCCUAAAAGGAAAGCAUUUCACAGCCUCCCUUUUCAUUCCCUUGGUCUUAUACUCUCUCCAUCACCUCUUCUAAGAUGCUCUCUGAGCAUUCAAGGUUAUAAGGGUUGAUGUAUUUUAGUGACAUGGAACAGAAAUAGUUUCAUGUACGCUCUAUCUAUAAUUUAUAAUCCUUAAGCCUUAUUAAGAUGUCCUAUUCUGUUUCCAAAUUAUAAUUACAAUGGUUUAUUUUGGCUCUUUCAAAUUUAAAACACUGUACUGCAAGCUUAUUUUCAUUACAGUUUUUUUUUUUUUUUAGUAAGUACCCAGAAAUAUAUUUAAAGUCUUAACAGAUCUUUAACCUUAUACAGCAAAUUGUAAGACUUAGUGGCUUAGGAACAUGGCCCCUAUCCAGGAUGGAUCUACCUUCUUUCAGAACAGAUUCCUGCCAGAGAUGUUUCUCACACCUUUGAUUCACCCUUGAGUCAUUGUGUCAGGAGAGUUAGCUUCCUUUCACUGUGACAAAAUAUCUGAAACACUUUUUAAAAUGGAACAGUUUAGUUUUGCUCAUGAUUUCUGAGACUUCAGUCCAUGAUUGGCUAGUUUUAUUAUUUCAAGGUCUAUUCCAAGCAAAGACUUAGAAAACAAAGGUGCUUAUUUUUAGAAGCUAGGAAAAAAGGGGUGUGGCAAAGGACACGAUGGUCUCUGAAGCAACACUUGAUGUGUUCAAAACUCUACACCAGGGUUCCACUUCCCAGGCUUCUAUAACUUUCCAAUAACCUUUUAAAUUACGAACCUACAAGACAGCACUCUAAACUACUCAUGGGUUCACAGCUCUAAUGAUCCAAUCUCUUUCAAAAACUCCCAUCAAUUUUAUUGGGACCAAGCCUUCAACACAUGAGCCUUUAAGGGAUAUUUCAGACCCUAAAGCAUAGCAUCAGGUAAGUUAUUACAACGGAUUAUAGAGUUGUCUGUAGAAGGAAUAUAUUCCUAGCCUACUUUGCUUCAACUUCUCAUAAAAUAUCCAACACAUAGCACAAUUGAAAUUUUCAAUUAUAAAGAGGAAUGGAGUUAUGCAAUUUGUGGGAAAAUAGGUGUAACUGGGGACAGUUAUACUAAGUGAAUUAAGACUAUCUCAGGUAAAUAUUUAUAUUUCAUUUGAAAUUACUAGACAUUUAUAGUGAUACAAAAUCAUGUAUUUAUAUGGUAAGGGAAAGUAAAAAUGAAAUAUUGUAGGUAAUUGAGAGAUGUAGGGUGGGAAAGGUAAGAGGGAAUGGAAGGGAGUGAAGGCGGGGUGUUCUCAGCAUGGAUAUGCAUGUAGGAACAUUUAAAUUAAUGAAUACACCACAUGCUAUUCGCAUUUUCUUAACAGAGCACUCCAAGGAUUUCCUAAGGACUAUAGCAGGGAUUCCAAGGAUUGGCUGCUGAGUAUUGGUGCCAUGUGGGAUCAUACUAUUUUUUAUGAGAUGAAGUGAAACCAAUAACCAUAUAUUGAUAAGUACCAUAUUAAAUUGGGCUAUGAUAGCUUCUCUUUCUUCAGGCAGCAUAGUUUUGUAGGCUACUCAGAUAUAAAAAUCCUAAAAGAAGGCAGAGAUACUGGUAGUUUUCAUUAUUUCUAAUAUGUAUGCUGUAAAAAAUGGAUUUUACACAUUGACUUACCAAACACUAAAUACUGUACAUGCAGGAAAAACAAGCUUAAUAGAGGCUGCUGUAACUAUUACCUAAAUAAAGCUUCUCCAAUACACUUUUUUUUUCCCAUGGUGAAACAUCAAAGCCUUUAUAUCCUUGAGAAUGCUUUACUGGUGUCACAGUAGUUUAAAAAUGCAAAUCAUGAAAAAAAUGACAGGACAUUGCAUAUACUGUGAAAAUAGGCUUCUUCAAUAAAAAUUGAAGCAAGAGGGUUGAGUGUCACCUUGAGAGGCCUCUGCCAGGAAUGAAUGUAUGUCAAUUUUGUAUUCCUCUUGUGCACUCUUACUUCCAAAAUGAUGAAUACUGAUCUUAAGAUAAUAAUAAAAAAAGUGUUUAGCCAGCAGGUAGACUCACAAGUGCCAACUUUGUAAACUUUGAGAAUCAACAGUAUCAUUUGGUUGCCAAUUUUUGUACAUUCACUUAUUCAUUCAUUUAACCCCUUGAACAUUCCUUGCAGGCAUCUGAUUUGUCUAAACCCUGGAACACAGGGGUUGGAAAGGAAGCUUAAUGCAGUGCUGAAACAAUGCUACUUGAAAUUCUCCCUAGGUGCUAUAACAAAGUACAUUUCAAACCUGUGUUAAACCCUUCUAUAAUGUGAAGACACUUCCCUGGUAGAUUGAAAAAAAAAUGAUCAUUGCAUUAAGCAAUCCUAGGUAAUAUUGGAAGAACCUUCCAAUCUUGUUCAUUACUAGCUGCUAUUAAAUUAGAAACGUGUUACCUCAGCUACCACCUAAGAUGUUAAUGAGAAGUAAAAUUACUUGUAACACACUUUAUGGAUGUUAUUUUUGGAAACCCUGAGUCUAAGAUGAUGCUUUAAUACAGAAUUAUGUUCAGGAGCCUUUAAUAUGACAAAGCAUAUCAUGAAUUUCAUAGGAACAGUGAGUGCAGUUUCUAAAAUUUAUUUGAACCUAGUAAUUUGAAGUUAGCUCCUUAAGGCUUCCUUGGCCCCAAAUUGCUUUAGAAUAUUCUUUCUAGUUGACAGGUUUAUGUCAGUCAUCCUAUUAGUCUCCCUCUCUGAAAAUCUACAGAUUCCCUUUGUGUAUGCUCUCUCCAGCACCUGGAAUCUUUAUUUCCUCCAUAAUCCAGGUUUCUCUUGCUAUUUAGUAUUUCAGUUCAUCCCAAAUUUACAUAAGAGAGCUGUCUGUUGAUUUUUAGAGGGUGCCUCUGAAAGAUUCUACAGCUUUCCUUCCAUCACUUCUUACUUCUGAUUGUCUGUAAUGAGAGCUGUAUUCCUGCAGAUUCUACCCUGACAUGUGCUUUGGUAUUUAAAGUACCCAUACACACAAGUUUAGCUGUGGCUCAUUGUGGGAAAUUUGUUGCUAACGUUCCAUAUACUUGUAAGGUCAUCUAUUUUUUGCCGUAAAAUGUGGUCAUGUUACAUUGUGAUUUUAGGCAAUAAAUUCUAGGACUUUUAAUUAUUUGGUCAUAUGCCUAGUAAAAAAAGAAAUUUCUCUUGUGAUAUCAUGUGCCCAGAGUUGUGUUUAAAAAUAUAUUUGGGGAAGUCAUAUGGCUUAGCAGAAGGAAUAUUUUGGAUUUUCAAGUCUGAAGUCCUAGUUAGUGUCCAGGUGUAUACACAUUUUGAAACCUUUGUGCACCUUAACAUUUUUAUAUGCAAACAGAACAAAUCAGCAAGGCUCUUAAAACAAAUAGAGAAGAUUUUAGUAAGCAGUCUGGACUGGAAAGGUCUUGGGCAUGUAUAUAUAGUGAGUGGUGGUCUUUCUAAAUUUGCAAGAUCUAGAGAAAAUAUAUAAAAAGGAUCAUUGUACAUUAUGAGAAAUAGAAGCUUUCCUUAAUUUAUAAAACC
rnacentral:lncRNA from 1 species